rnacentral:piRNA from 1 species
UCCUGGAGGGUUCCAAGGUUCUUCCUAGC